rnacentral:lncRNA from 1 species
UUUAUUCUUUUCUUUGGUAUACCAUAGAUUUUAAAGAAAAGGUAAACAUUUUCCCCUGCAGCAUGGUAAGAAUGCAGCUCAGCACAGGUGAAAGCUGGUGGAAACAUACGGAUUAUCAGGAUCCCAUCCAGCAUACUAUGUUUUUCAGAUUUCAACAACUCUGAAAUUGUGAUAUGGUGUCUUACAAUUACUUUGCAUUUGAUAUCUGCUGCUGCCAACCCUGACUCCCCCAAGGGGGAAGCCCAGCCACUGUUAAGGUAAGGGCUAGGCAGUUGCCCCUCUCCACUUUGAACCUCCCUGGUCUGGUCAAUGCAGUCCUUUUGUACUAACCCCUGUCUGUAAAGC